GACGAACGCUGGCGGCGUGCUUAACACAUGCAAGUCGAACGGAAAGGCCCUGCUUUUGUGGGGUGCUCGAGUGGCGAACGGGUGAGUAACACGUGAGUAACCUGCCCUUGACUUUGGGAUAACUUCAGGAGACUGGGGCGAAUACAGGAUAGGAGCUCCUGCUGCAUGGUGGGGGUUGGAAAGUUUCGGCGGUUGGGGAUGGACUCGCGGCUUAUCAGCUUGUUGGUGGGGUAGUGGCUUACCAAGGCUUUGACGGGUAGCCGGCCUGAGAGGGUGACCGGCCACAUUGGGACUGAGAUACGGCCCAGACUCCUACGGGAGGCAGCAGUGGGGAAUAUUGCACAAUGGGCGGAAGCCUGAUGCAGCAACGCCGCGUGCGGGAUGACGGCCUUCGGGUUGUAAACCGCUUUCGCCUGUGACGAAGCGUGAGUGACGGUAAUGGGUAAAGAAGCACCGGCUAACUACGUG
rnacentral:rRNA from 1 species